AUCAAAUCGUUCAUGGUCACCUUUUCCAAUGCCAUAGUUCCUAACAAAAAAAAUUCUAAAACAAAAACACAAAAAACAACAAACUAGUUAAUGUUAGAAAAGAAAACAUCCUCACAAGCUCUCAAGCUCUCCCACUUUGAAAUGCCUCUCAAUUGGCCUCACAAGUGUUGGUAACUCGUUUAUACUCCAAGGAGAUUACUUGGUACCAAUUGGGGCUUGAGGUCGGAAUAGAUUCUCUUUUGAAACAACUCAAAGAAAAUACGUACGGACUUCAACCAAGAAACUACAAUGAAUUUCAAAAAGAUAAAAGCACACAAAGAAACGUCGACACAAAU
rnacentral:lncRNA from 1 species